AGUGAACGCUGGCGGUAGGCCUAACACAUGCAAGUCGAACGGCAGCACAGUAAGAGCUUGCUCUUACGGGUGGCGAGUGGCGGACGGGUGAGGAAUACAUCGGAAUCUACUUUUUCGUGGGGGAUAACGUAGGGAAACUUACGCUAAUACCGCAAACGACCUACGGGUGAAAGCAGGGGAUCUUCGGACCUUGCGCGAUUGAAUGAGCCGAUGUCGGAUUAGCUAGUUGGCGGGGUAAAGGCCCACCAAGGCGACGAUCCGUAGCUGGUCUGAGAGGAUGAUCAGCCACACUGGAACUGAGACACGGUCCAGACUCCUACGGGAGGCGGCAGUGGGGAAUAUUGGACAAUGGGCGCAAGCCUGAUCCAGCCAUACCGCGUGGGUGAAGAAGGCCUUCGGGUUGUAAAGCCCUUUUGUUGGGAAAGAAAAGCAGCAGGUUAAUACCCCGCUGUUCUGACGGUACCCAAAGAAUAAGCACCGGCUAACUUCGUG
rnacentral:rRNA from 1 species